rnacentral:rRNA from 1 species
AUUGAACGCUGGCGGCAUGCUUUACACAUGCGAGUCGAACGGUAACAGGUUAAGCUGACGAGUGGCGAACGGGUGAGUAAUGCAUCGGAACGUGCCCGGUCGUGGGGGAUAACGCAGCGAAAGCUGCGCUAAUACCGCAUACGAUCUGAGGAUGAAAGCGGGGGACCGUAAGGCCUCGCGCGAUCGGAGCGGCCGAUGUCAGAUUAGGUAGUUGGUGGGGUAAAGGCUCACCAAGCCAACGAUCUGUGGCUGGUCUGAGAGGACGUCCAGCCACACUGGGACUGAGACACGGCCCAGACUCCUACGGGAGGCAGCAGUGGGGAAUUUUGGACAAUGGGCGAAAGCCUGAUCCAGCAAUGCCGCGUGCAGGAAGAAGGCCUUCGGGUUGUAAACUGCUUUUGUACGGAGCGAAAAGGUCUCCUCUAAUACAGGGGGCUCAUGACGGUACCGUAAGAAUAAGCACCGGCUAACUACGUGCCAGCAGCCGCAGUAA